CGUUUGUGUCUCUGGCAGAUCCCUUGACUGAGCAGAACAUCCCGUUAGAGCGCCUGGUAAAUUCAGGGCCCCAGGUCAUCUCUGUGCUGGGCUCCAGGGCUGGCAGCCCGGGCCAGUCUCCCUGCCUGAGAAGCGUGAUUCACUGACAGGUGGCAUCCGCGAAGAUGAGUCGAGAGCUGGCUGCGGAACCUCCAUAGCACUCUGCAGGUGAAAAUCCCAGGAGUCCUUGGGAUCUGCAAGUGAAAAAGACCGAAUCUGCCCUCGGGACUGGGAGGAGACAGAGAGUAAACAAACGGGCAGCGGACAGGUAAAUACCGAAGGUGUGAGCAGGACAUCCCGGACACACGGAUGGCGAAGAUGAACAGAGGAGGGGGGCAGAACCACUCUGGUUGGGGUAGACGGCAAG
rnacentral:lncRNA from 1 species